rnacentral:rRNA from 1 species
UACGGAGGGCGCAAGAGUUGUUCGGAAUUACUGGGCGUAAAGCGCGUGUAGGCGGCCAGGUAAGUCGGAUGUGAAAGCACGGGGCCCAACCCCGGAACUGCACCCGAUACUGCCCGGCUGGAGUCCCGGAGAGGAUGGCGGAAUUUCCGGUGUAGAGGUGAAAUUCGUAGAUAUCGGAAGGAACACCAGUGGCGAAGGCGGCCAUCUGGACGGUGACUGACGCUGAGACGCGAAAGCGUGGGGAGCAAACAGG